ACUCAAAUGAAUAGACGGGGGCCCGCACAAGCAGCGGAGCGUGUGGUUUAAUUCGAUGCAACACGAAGAACCUUACCAAGGCUUGACAUGCUGGAAGUAGCGAACCGAAAGGGGAGCCAACUGUUGAGUCAGUAGCCUGCACAGGUGCUGCAUGGCUGUCGUCAGCUCGUGCCGUGAGGUGUUGGGUUAAGUCCCCCAACGAGCGUAACCCUUAUUGCCAGUUGUUUUCUCUGGCGAGACUGCCCCGCAAAACGGGGAGGAAGGUGGGGAUGACGUCAAGUCAGCACGGCCUUUAUGCCUUGGGCUACACACACGCUACAAUGGACGGUACAGUGGGUUGCAAGGGAGCGAUUCGGAGCUAAUCCAAAAAGCCGUUCUCAGUUCGGAUUGCAGGCUGAAACCCGCCUGCAUGAAGUCGGAGUUGCUAGUAACCGUAAGUCAGCAUAUUACGGUGAAUACGUUCUCGGGCCUUGUACACACCGCCCGU
rnacentral:rRNA from 1 species